GCAGCAUCUCAUACUGAGAGGAAACAGAGCACCCAGCGUCGGUCAGACUUUCUCCACCACACGAGAUGGCUCGCCUGUUCACUGUGACAAUGACCUUCUGUCUGAUUGCCACAAGUCUGGGUGAAAUAGACCUGGGACGGCUUUCAGGACUAAUACAGAAGCUGAAAAAUGAUAUCACAAAAAAGGUUAAAUAUCCAAUGUUCGCUGUGGCUAUGAGCAUUCUGGCUCAGGACUCCUACGAUGAAAAGCUCACAGACACGCUCACAGAUAAAGACAGUGAGAACAUCAAAAACAGUUUGUUGUUCAUACAAAACAGAUUAGUGAUCGCCACAAAGAAAGACGUAUUUGAGGGGGGAAGGAGAUACACUGAACAUGCAGAGUACCGUGUUCUGAAGAAUCUUGAUGAUUUUGAAGUUCAGAAGGGUGAUUUUUUGGUCUUCUUCUCUCUGGCCUCACCUUGUGAUGAAAACUGUGCAAAUCCAAAAAGUAAAUUUAAGAUCACUGACAAACUUCGUGAUGUCUUCAAUAAUAAAAUGUGGGGGGAAAAGGCAUUUGUGUUUGAAUAUCUCUUUAAGCCACAGGGAGAGAACAUUGACCCAACCAAAAUAAAACUGGCCCUGGAACAAAUUGGGAAAUCUGUUGGUGUUCAAAACAUAUUUCGCUGUUACAGACUGAAUGGAAAAUUCCAGUGUAUCAGCUGUGCUGAAGGCAACACUGUAACCAAAAACUGUUACACUGAGUGACCUCACAGAAAAGGUCACUGAGCUUCAAAGCAAUUCAGGGGAUACAACAGUGAAAAAAAAAGUCCCUGAAUCCAGUUUGAAAAUUAUUAACGCUCAUUUUUAUUGUAGAAGCUUAAAUGUUCGUCUCUCUGCUCGUUGGCUUCACUCACUGAGGACUCUGCUGUCCAAAGGUGCAGUCAGGUUUUUGUUUUUGACAGUUGAUCCAAAUCAUUGAUCUUUUUCUAUUUGUAAUCAGACUGAAAUUUCACCAUCAGCACGUGCUGUGUGGUCCUGAUGUGACCCAAAGGUCAGAGCCUGAUAUUUGACCUGUGUGAGAUGGACCUGUGUCUGACUUCAUGCAGCCUCACCGGCAUCAGUGAAGGCCACAUCUGUCCUAAAUGCUGCUCUCUGGGAACACUCUGAACAUGAGCAGCCAUUAUUAAUGAUAUUUUUAUGGAUCACUGAAGGUUUCCUGCAGUAAACCGGAUGUAUUACAGCAUUCAUGCCUUUGUAUCGAAUCCUCUGAUGUCCUCUCUCAUUAAA